rnacentral:rRNA from 1 species
UACGUAGGGGGCGAGCGUUAUCCGGAAUUACUGGGCGUAAAGCGCACGCAGGCGGUCUUUUAAGUUUGACGUGAAAGCUCCCGGCUUAACUGGGAGAGGUCGUUGAAGACUGGAAGACUUGAGGCAAUGAGAGGGGUGUAGAAUUCCCGGUGUAGUGGUGGAAUGCGUAGAUAUCGGGGGGAAUACCAGUGGCGAAAGCGGCACCCUAGCGUUAGCCUGACGCUCAUGUGCGAAAGCGUGGGGAGCGAACGGG